rnacentral:lncRNA from 1 species
GGGUAUGUUGAUCUCCAGUUUCUUGAAGAUCUCCAUGAAGCGCUCAAACUGCUUUUCUUUUUCCUUCCUAGAAUAAUUCCUUGGGUAAGGAAGGGACUUUUCAAAAACUUCUUCUUCUUUUUUUCUCAUUCUCCUCCUCACUUAUUUUUUCUUUUUUCUCUCUCUUUCUUUUUCUUCCUUUUUUUCUUUUUUUCUCCUCUCACUCUCUUGUUUUUCUCUUUCUUUUUCAUAUUUUUC